CAGGAGAUUUUGGAGUCCCCCCAUGUCCCCUAAACUGCCUGUAAAUAAAUACUGAGUCCAGCAUCCUUCUUAUCACUUUGGGGGCUCCGUGGUGGGAUUGCUGGGGUGUCUGUGCAGGGAGAAGAGUUGGACUGGAGGAUCCUCGUGGAUCCCUUCAGCUCAGGACAUUUUAUGAUUCCACAAUUCCAGACAUUCCCUGGUAGUGCCACUUAGGACCAAGGACUCCUGAAGCUUAAAUUACCUCAGUUUGGGGCUGAGGUUUUUCCCCACUUAAUUUUUUUCACCCCCCAAGUUUUUCAGACUCCUUUGUCUGGGAAGAAAGUUGCCAUGUCUGGGGCUUCUCAGGUGAGGGCCAGCAGUGCUGGGUGGUGACUCUUUGGAAAGGGAUAUUUGUGGGGGCAACCCCUCAAAAGGACAAGUGCAGCCUCCUUCCCCUUGAUGGGUGAAGCCUGGCCCUACAGCCACACACUGAGGUCACAGUGGGACAUUCUGCCUCCCUUGACAACACCCCAAUGCCCACUUCCCUAGAACCAGGACUAGGACCAACCGUGGGGAGCUGCUCCCAGGAUCUGGUGCCCCGGUUUGGGGCCAUGGUGAGAUGGAGAGGAGGAGGAGAGUAGCUCGAGCACGAGGAGCUGCAGCCAAGACAGAGCCCUUUCCUGGCUCCCUCCUUGCUCUGUCCCCAGACCUGGUGUAUUUCUCCAAGGAUGUAAUCACUAAAAUUUGGGACUGUGUGUCCGAGUGCUGCCGCCAAGACCUGCUGCUGAAGAAGAGGGUCGGGCUGAUGGGCCUGGGGACCAUCCACAUCAUGAAAAAACCCAUCUGGCAGGGAAAACUGGAAGGUUUCUUGGUUGACAGUCCCGAGUUCGACCUGGACAAGCCAUUCCUGGUGGGGAACAAGCUCCCUCAUGGGAACAGUCUGGCACCUGAGCUCUCCAGAGCCGACGAGCUGGUCUGUGCCGAGGUUGCCCUGCGCCUGCACGUGCCCAAGGCCACCGUCGUGAUGUGCAUCAAGGCCACCACGAGGGUCUUUGAGUGGGCCUUGGCCAGCAGGCAGAACUUCGACUUCAUGUUCAAGGACAUCGGCGUCCUGGUGUGCCGAGGGGGGCACGUGGCCAUGAGGUUCUUCGAGGACCUGGCCCGGGAGGUGGCUCAGUCCGAGAACCUGGCAGACAGUUUGCUCCAGUCACCAAACCUGAGGCAAUCAUUCACAGCCCACAUGGAAAAGGACAUUUCCGAGCUGCCUCCUGGAGGUGUCUUGGUGUUGCCACACUUUGUGCAGGUGGAUGGGAAGUCAAAGCCACAUCCUGUGACUGCUUCCCUGCAGAGCUCUGGAACAAGUGCUGAGCACCAGCUGACUCCGGGUACAUCCCCUCCCAGAACUGAUCUCCUCCAUGCUCAAGGGAAUCCCCUCUCCAGCCUAAAAGCUGUCCCAGCAGGUCACCCUUUCUCUACCUGGGGCCCCAAGGCAGCAGUGGGGCAGCUCCAGGGAGUAGCACGGCCCUCAGGGAAGGGGAGUGGGUUGGGACAGGAGGGCUGGCACAUCCUUCAUGUCCAAAGUGUUCCAGAGGUGCAGCUGAGAGGAGCUUCCUCUUUGCCUUCCCCAGGGAAUGUUCCUGGCCAGCGCCUUCUUUCUCGCCCACGUGUUUCUCCGAGUCGGAUACGGGAUGUGGAAAAGAGAAAGGCUGAUGCUGGAGGGCAGAGAGGGAGUUUGCUGCCUCCCAUUAUUGGGAGCUCUGGGCAGAAGGGCAGAGCUGUGGAGCAGAUGGAAGCACCUGGAGCUGGUGUCCUUGCUCCCAGAAGGCAGUUCCUACCCGUGGCAGAGCAGGGGAGGCAGGAGAAGGAAGCUGCCUCCCCCCCCGGGCAGUUCGAGAGGGUGAGGAAGAAGAGGGCAGCUGCUGUGGCAGGAGUGGCAGCUGCCCUGUCCCCACAGGGAGAGGAGACCAUGAAAACCCCUUCCCCUCUUGGCAGGAGGCAAAAGCCAAAGACACCACGAGCAAAGCAGGUCCUGGCAAACCUGGAGUCGUUCCGGGUGUCCCGGGAGCAGUGUAUGAAGGCCCUGCAGAUCAACAAGCUGAGGAAAUGGUCCCAAGACAGUUCCUCUGGUGGGUAUUCCCAGGCACGGGAGGUGUUUUCCCCCAGGAAGGAUGUCCUGUCCUGCUGGAUGGGUGAAAAGAGAGCAGGGGGUUCUGGGGCUGU
ensembl:lncRNA